rfam:Acidocella aminolytica 101 = DSM 11237 DNA, contig: Aam_152.
CCUCGGGUCACGCUCCCCCACCGGAGCGCUUUUCUUCUGUAAGGGAGAGUUUU